GAUCUUGCUCCAUCUCUCUUUCUCUUUAUUUGUUGUAUAAGUUUCUCCAUAGAGAUGAACCUAAACCCAUUAGUCAACCCUCACUCUUCUUUGUCUCUAUACUUCAAGAAGCUAGCUAAAAUUCCUCAUGCAACCCCAUUUUGAUCAUAUGGCCUAUGAGCUCAAAACUCAGCAGAAUCCUAUCUUGAUACCUCCUUCGCCUGCUUCAGACCAUGCUUCUCCUAUGCUAGCUGUUGCUGUAUUAAGCAUCAUAAGCACAGCUUUCUUGUUAUUUGGCUACUAUAUGAUCUUUGUCAACAAAUGCUGCUCUAACUGGCACCAACUUAAUCUGCUAAGGUGGGUUUCUGUCUGGCGUGCUAGAAGAAACGAAGAUUCAUUUAUAGCUCUCUCUCCAACGCUGUGGAAUAGGGGGCUCGAUGAAUCUGUCAUCCGCGAAAUCCCAACAUUUCAGUAUAGAAGAGAAGGUGAAGGGAGAAGCAUCUAUGGCUGUGUGGUCUGUUUGAAUGAAUUCCAAGAACAGGAUAUGCUUAGAGUUCUUCCUAAUUGUAGCCACUCAUUUCAUUUGGAUUGCAUUGACAUUUGGCUUCAAAGCAAUGCCAAUUGCCCUCUUUGUAGAACAAGCAUUUCAGGCACUACUAGGUAUCCUAUUGACCAGAUCAUUGCACCAAGUUCUUCACCUCAAGGCUCGCAGCCUUACACUGAUAGCCUGAUGGGUGGUGAUGAAGACUUUGUCGUGAUCGAAUUGGGUGGAGAAGAGGAAGGAGCUCUUUUGCCUCGCAGGCGACAGGAAAGACCUGCUUCAAGAGAAGUUCAGAUGCAACUUAGAGAUCAAUCGCCAUCAAAAAUGGAGCAGAAGCGUGGAAAGUUAAAACCACAAAAGCGCCACCAUCUCUCGAUUAUGGGGGAUGAGUGUAUUGAUAUAAGAGGGAUAGAUGAUCAAUUCUCUGUCCAACCGAUGAGGAGAUCUUUCUCCUUGGAUUCAGCAGUUGAUCGACAGCUUUAUUCAGGUGUUCAAGCUACUAUUCAACAAAAUACACAUCAAAGAGGGAUUAGCAGUAACGAAGAAA
rnacentral:misc_RNA from 1 species